rnacentral:rRNA from 1 species
UACGUAGGGUGCAAGCGUUUGUCCGGAAUUAUUGGGCGAAAGAGCUCGUAGGCGGUUUGUCGCGUCUGCUGUGAAAUCCCAGGGCUUAACCCUGGGCCUGCAGUGGGUACGGGCAAACUAGAGUGCGGUAGGGGAGAUCGGAAUUCCUGGUGUAGCGGUGAAAUGCGCAGAUAUCAGGAGGAACACCGGUGGCGAAGGCGGAUCUCUGGGCCGUAACUGACGCUGAGGAGCGAAAGCAUGGGUAGCGAACAGG